rnacentral:rRNA from 1 species
AUGGCCAUAAUAUCCUGAACAUGCCCGAUCUCAUCUGAUCUCAGAAGCUAAGCAGGGUCAGGCCUGGUUAGUACUUGGAAAGGAGAAAGUAUGCAGAAUUCUAAC